AUUGAACGCUGGCGGCAGGCCUAACACAUGCAAGUCGAGCGGAUGAAGGGAGCUUGCUCCUGGAUUCAGCGGCGGACGGGUGAGUAAUGCCUAGGAAUCUGCCUGGUAGUGGGGGAUAACGUCCGGAAACGGGCGCUAAUACCGCAUACGUCCUGAGGGAGAAAGUGGGGGAUCUUCGGACCUCACGCUAUCAGAUGAGCCUAGGUCGGAUUAGCUAGUUGGUGGGGUAAAGGCCUACCAAGGCGACGAUCCGUAACUGGUCUGAGAGGAUGAUCAGUCACACUGGAACUGAGACACGGUCCAGACUCCUACGGGAGGCAGCAGUGGGGAAUAUUGGACAAUGGGCGAAAGCCUGAUCCAGCCAUGCCGCGUGUGUGAAGAAGAUCUUCGGAUUGUAAAGCACUUUAAGUUGGGAGGAAGGGCAGUAAGUUAAUACCUUGCUGUUUUGACGUUACCAACAGAAUAAGCACCGGCUAACUUCGU
rnacentral:rRNA from 1 species